rnacentral:rRNA from 1 species
UACGGGGGGGGCAAGCGUUGUUCGGAAUUACUGGGCGUAAAGGGCUCGUAGGUGGCCAACUAAGUCAGACGUGAAAUCCCUCAGCUUAACUGGGGAACUGCGUCUGAUACUGGAUGGCUUGAGUUUGGGAGAGGGAUGCGGAAUUCCCGGUGUAGCGGUGAAAUGCGCAGAUAUCGGGAGGAACACCGGUGGCGAAGGCGGUUCUCUGGGCCUGACCUGACGCUGAGGAGCGAAAGCGUGGGGAGCGAACAGG